rnacentral:RNase_P_RNA from 1 species
UCAACAGCCCGGUCUGUCGCCACGCCCUGGGCGUGGAGGAAAGUCGGGACAACGCAGGGCGCCGUACUUCCUAACGGGAAGGUCCCGCCGCAAGGCGGGAACAGCAAGUGCCACAGAAAAUAACUGCCACGCCGUAGGCGUGGUGAUGGUGAAAAUGUGGGGUAAGAGCCCACGUCCCGCUGUGGUGACAUGGCGGGAGGGUAAACCUUACGGGUUGAAAGGCCAAAUAUACCGGGGCUUGAGGGCGGCCCGCCCGAUCCCGGGGGGUUGGCUGCUACAUCCCGACAGUAAUGUUGGGAGCAGAUAAAUGACAGAUUAAACAGAAUCCCGCUUAUGAGGCUGUUGAUACC